rnacentral:rRNA from 1 species
GACGAGCCACACGAACGUUAUUCGGAAUUACUGGGCUUAAAGGGUGCGUAGGCGGCGCGGAAAGUUGGGUGUGAAAUCCCUCGGCUCAACCGAGGAACUGCGCCCAAAACUACCGUGCUCGAGGAAGAUAGAGGUGAGCGGAACUUACGGUGGAGCGGUGAAAUGCGUUGAUAUCGUGAGGAAUACCAGAGGCGAAGGCGGCUACCUGGACAAUUGCUGACGCUCAGGCACGAAAGCGUGGGGAGCAAAAGGG